rnacentral:rRNA from 1 species
CUGUAAGCCGUUGAAGGUGACCUGUGAGGGUUGCUGGAGGUAUCAGAAGUGCGAAUGCUGACAUAAGUAACGAUAAUGCGGGUGAAAAACCCGCACGCCGGAAGACCAAGGGUUCCUGUCCAACGUUAAUCGGGGCAGGGUGAGUCGACCCCUAAGGCGAGGCUGAAAAGCGUAGUCGAUGGGAAACAGGUUAAUAUUCCUGUACUUGGUGUUACUGCGAAGGGGGGACGGAGAAGGCUAGGCUAGCCGGGCGACGGUUGUCCCGGUUUAAGCAUGUAGGCGGAGUGACUUGGUAAAUCCGGUUGCUUAUCA